rnacentral:rRNA from 1 species
AGUGAACGCUGGCGGCAGGCCUAAUACAUGCAAGUCGAACGGCAGCACAGCAGAGCUUGCUCUGUGGGUGGCGAGUGGCGGACGGGUGAGGAAUACAUGGGAAUCUGCCCAGUCGUGGGGGAUAACGUAUGGAAACGUACGCUAAUACCGCAUGCGCCCUUUGGGGGAAAGCCGGGGACCUUCGGGCCUGGCGCGAUUGGAUGAGCCCAUGUUCGAUUAGCUAGUUGGCGGGGUAAAGGCCCACCAAGGCGACGAUCGAUAGCUGGUCUGAGAGGAUGAUCAGCCACACUGGGACUGAGACACGGCCCAGACUCCUACGGGAGGCAGCAGUAGGGAAUAUUGGACAAUGGGCGCAAGCCUGAUCCAGCCAUGCCGCGGGAGUGAAGAAGGCCCUCGGGUUGUAAAGCUCUUUUGUCCGGAAAGAAAAGCAUUCGGUUAAUACCCGGGUGUUCUGACGGUACCGGAAGAAUAAGCACCGGCUAACUUCGUG